rnacentral:rRNA from 1 species
GAUGAACGCUGGCGGCGUGCCUAAUACAUGCAAGUCGAGCGAACAGACGAGGAGCUUGCUCCUCUGACGUUAUCGGCGGACGGGGGAGUAAAACGUGGAUAACAUACCUAUAAGACUGGGAUAACUUCGGGAAACCGGAGCGAAUACCGGAUAAUAUAUUGAACCGCAUGGUUCAAUAGUGAAAGACGGUUUUGCUGUCACUUAUAGAUGGAUCCGCGCCGCAUUAGCUAGUUGGUAAGGUAACGGCUUACCAAGGCAACGAUGCGUAGCCGACCUGGGAGGGUGACCGGCCACACGGGAACUGAGACACGGUCCAGACUCCUCCGGGAGGCAGCAGUAGGGAAUCUUCCGCAAUGGGCGAAAUCCUGCCGGAGCAACGCCGCUUGAGUGAUGAAGGUCUUCGGAUCGUAAAACUUUGUUAUUAGGGAAAAACAAAUGUGUAAGUAACUAUGCACGUCUUGACGGUACCUAAUCAGAAAGCCACGGCUAACUACGUG